ACGCUGGCGGCAUGCCUAACACAUGCAAGUCGAACGAAGGCUUCGGCCUUAGUGGCGCACGGGUGCGUAACGCGUGGGAAUCUGCCCCUUGGUUCGGAAUAACAGUUGGAAACGACUGCUAAUACCGGAUGAUGACGUAAGUCCGAAGAUUUAUCGCCGAGGGAUGAGCCCGCGUAGGAUUAGGUAGUUGGUGUGGUAAAGGCGCACCAAGCCGACGGUCCUUAGCUGGUCUGAGAGGAUGAUCAGCCACACUGGGACUGAGACACGGCCCAGACUCCUACGGGAGGCAGCAGUGGGGAAUAUUGGACAAUGGGCGAAAGCCUGAUCCAGCAAUGCCGCGUGAGUGAUGAAGGCCUUAGGGUUGUAAAGCUCUUUUACCCGGGAUGAUAAUGACAGUACCGGGAGAAUAAGCUCCGGCUAACUCCGUGCCAGCAGCCGCGGUAAUACGGAGGGAGCUAGCGUUAUUCGGAAUUACUGGGCGUAAAGCGCACGUAGGCGGCUUUGUAAGUAGGAGGUGAAAGCCCAGAGCUCAACUCUGGAAUUGCCUUUUAGACUGCAUCGCUUGAAUCAUGGAGAGGUCAGUGGAAUUCCGAGUGUAGAGGUGAAAUUCGUAGAUAUUCGGAAGAACACCAGUGGCGAAGGCGGCUGACUGGACAUGUAUUGACGCUGAGGUGCGAAAGCGUGGGGAGCAAAC
rnacentral:rRNA from 1 species